AACCACUGAGCUCUCCCUCCCCUCUUUAACUUGUCUUGCUGAGCCAGGCUCUUAAAACCUCCUCUAACACACACGCAGGCAAGGCCACACCCAGCUGCUGCUCAGCUGUGGGAAGACUCAGCUUCAGGGACUUGCUCCAGUACUCAGAUGUCCACCUCCCUUGGAGCGCAGACCCAAAGAUAUACUAUGAAAUUCGCCCCCUCCCUCAAUGUGGAGAGAGGUGUGCACAGUUUCCCCCGCCGCCCACUAGAACUUACAGAAACUGGGUUUAAUAAUAAACCAAAUUUUAUUAACUAUAAAAGGCAGAUUUUAAGUGGUAAAAAGGGCAACAAACAGAACAAAGCAGAUUACUAAGCAACUGAAACCAAACGCACAAACUAAGCUAGUUUCGCUAAAGGAAUUGGUUACAAAUAGUAUUUCUCACCCUAGAUAUUGUUGCAGGCAGGUUGCAAAGUUUCUGUGGUUCAGAGUUCCAGUUCUGUUCCUUUUCAGUCUGGACUCCUCCCUUGCCUUCCCUUUUGCAGUCUUUCUUCUUGGGCAGACAGGCCAUGGAGAGGAGGAGUCCUGUUUGCCUUCCUCCCCACCCUUAAAUAGGAUUUACAUAAGGUGGGAAUCCUUUGUUCCCCAAACUUGAAACCCCCCCUUCCCUUAUAGUGGAAAGUUACCAGAAGUCCCAGGCAAUGUUUUAGUAUCAGGUGACAAGACCACCUGACUCUGUAGGAUCACAGCGUCCGUCCGUGAGUCAGUGACAGUGUGGAGCAUCCACAGGACGACCAAGCUUUUCACACUCUAUUGUCCCCGUUGAUGGGCCAUCUGCCCUGUCUGACUUUUCCAUUGUUGUACCUGAAGUGUUAGCAGUGGGCGUCACUCAUAGUUGAAAUACAAGUAUCUAGUCAAUAUUCCAAACUUCAGAUACAGAAAAGAUACAGGCAUACAAAUUGGGUAAGUGCAUUCAGUAAAUCAUAACCUUCCCAAAGAUAUCUCACAUGAGCCAUCUUGCAUAAAGUAUGUCUCAGUUAUGCCAUAUUCAUAUACGUAUAUUUUCAUAAAGAAUAUGGAAUGACACAUCACAGGGGGUGCCUAGGCACAUUGCAUCAGAGUGCCUAGGCAAUGCUAGAACCCAGCCCCAGUAGGGAAGCUAGGGUUGAGUCAGUGCUCCGCUAUUCCCUACGGUGAAUCGUGCUGCUGCCUAUCUUGGCAUCCCCUAACCAGCAUGCCACCCCGCUGCAUCUGCCUCUUCAGCAUGUGCCAUGCCAGACAUCCACCUAGGGGCCUUGGUCAGCUUGGACACUUCUGGCAAUUUUAUGGACCAGGACUUUAUGGAGCCUCGAAUUCCCGACCUCUACAAGGUCUUCCCCAAGCUUAUUGAGGUUAUAGAUGGGUCAUUCCUAUCUUCAGGCCCCAUCAUGCAUCAAACAACCCACCUGGAGGGCAUCAGCAUUGGCAGUCACCGAGAUCUUCCAGUUCAGGGUCAUCUGCGCUUUGCAUUCACCGGUCGACCUUGGUGUCCCCUGGCUUGUUGCCCAUAAACCCCAAGUUAGCUGGCGCUUGCGAUCUUUACUUUUCUAUUCCCUGCAGUGCCGAUGAGCAUGCUUUCCAACUCUAGUGAAUGGCUAGUCACAUUCUGUGGCAUGCUCCAGCCCUCGAAGGAUCCAGAACUGCCAACCAAAGUUUCAUUGGCAGUGCCCGGGAUUCCUGCUGAGUACAUAGAAUAUGCUGCGGUAUUUGACAAACAGAAGGCAGAUGCUCUACUUCCUCAGCACAGUGAUGAUUGCACAAUUGACCUUCAACCAGGAACAGGAGUUCCUUUUGGGUGCAUUUACACCUUAUCUGCACCCCAGCUGCAGGCCCUCCAGGAGUACCUUGAGGAAAAUCUGCGGAAGAGGUUCAUUGUCCCUUGACUUCCCGAGUGGCAGCACGUCUUCUUCGUGGCUAAGAAGGAUGGCUCCCUCCCUUAUAUUGAUUAUUGAACCUUUAACGAGAUCACAGUCUGCAACUGAUGCCCCUUUUCAUAAAUAAACUGGAAAGACUCCCAGUCAGGUCUUCACAAAGCUAGACUGGUGUGGGGCAUACAACCUGUUAGAAUCCAGCAAGGGAAUGUGUGAUGCUGACGGACCAUUGGCCAGCUCAUGCCAAGGCCCUUAGAUCUCAGCUGAACGCUGGCAAAUAUGUAGCUGGAACCAGUCUGGCUCACCCAUGUGCUAAUAUUGUUAAAACAGACGAGAAGCAUUACCAAGUGUGAAAUACUAUCUUGCCACAGGAUGUGUUCUCUCUUGCCCAACAAAAGAAGUCCCAUCAACACCAGAUGAACUGUUGUGGAACAUCAGAGGACAAAAGACUUUGUUGAUCAGCCCCCUUACCACUUACCCCCCGAAGAAGAGACAGGCAGCUGAAUUUGCAACUCAGCAGAAGGGGGAAAGGAAUAAAAAGCCCUAACAAGGAGGAACUGUAUCCUCUGCUUGGAGUCUGAGGAGUGGGACUUACUAAGCAUAAGCAAAAGAUCCCCAGUGGUUGGCCUAGAUUAGCCCUAAGGGCACAUAGCUUGCUUAUUAUAGAAGCUUCUAUUACCUUUUGAAACUUAAGACAGGAACACAUUUGUGUGUACAGUUAAACCUGCUUUAACCUUCUAAAUAACUCUAUUUCCUUUGCCUAGUUAAUAAAUCUUCAGAUACUUUAUUUUAGGAUCGGUAAGACCCUUCGUUUUCGGUUUAAACGGAUUUUUAUUGAAAAAUUCUCAGGUUUUAAAAAUAGAAUUAAUUUUUUUUCUGAUUUUCACUCUACUUUUGUAUCAUUCAAAUAUAUACAAAAUAACUCGUUUGAUUAGGAAAAUACAAUAUAUGGCAUGAGCUAUAUGUAUUACGCUAAUACAUUAGUCCGUGUGUAUAUGCAAGGCUGCCUGCUGAAGUAAGGCUCUGUGUUGGUCUAGAAGAUAAAAUAAACAAAGAGGCGCACACGCAA